AAAUCAUGAAGGUGGAUUGAAAACCGGAAACGCUUGUUUCAAAUUGAAAACAACAUCUCUCUUUCUUUUUACUCUCUAUCCCAUUCCUAGCAGAUUUCCAAGGGUUUCCUCUGCCUCCCCGUUUGCAGACUGAGACUCUCGAAGAUCAAUCUUCAUCUCCUAUCCUCGUCUCCUAUUUUCUGCUCCAGGUAUUUCUUUUGUGAGCUUUCACUAAAUAAUUGCUCCCUCUGAUUUUAUUGGGCAUUAUAGCUAGCGUUCUUCACCCCUACUAUAUUAAUAUUGCUGUAUUAAUCCAACCCCUUAUUUAGUUUGUUUGCUGGUUUUUUAAUGUGCCCUCGAUUUGUUGUUCUUUAAACGAAUAGAUGAUAACCCAUUUAGUUUUUCUGCAAAAAUCUGCAUUUAUUUCUGCGUGAUUGUUGAAUUUUUUGCUCUACUCGUGUUUUUGAAUUGAUUUGUGGAUUUUCCACGUUAACAUGUAUAAAAGUUGAUCAAAACUGAUAUCUAAAUACUGUGUGGAUUCCUAACAUUUUUGGCUGUGUCUUCAAUUGGAAUUGAUGUUAUUUUGCAUAUUCAACAUGUUAUUGUUCUCUUCUGUUCAGUGACAGAAAUCGACAAGGUUGUCGAUGAUACUAUUUUUUUGUAGAGUUGCAUUGUCUUUUAUGGUUUGUUUUAAGAAUUGAAGAUGGUGUUACUUGGAGAAUUAAGGAAGUUUUAUUGUGUUAAGUGGAAGAGCACAUCUAUGGUUUUGUGUGAUUGACGGUGUCUUGUAAGAUUGAACUGAGAAUUCUAUAUAGAAUUAUAAUCAAAUCAGCUAAUUUCAUCUUUAAUGACAGUGACACCAUCUAAAAAAAUGAAAGUAUUUGAGUAUUUAUGAAAUGAAAAAUUAUGAUGGAUCAGAAUAAAUCUAUAAGAGAUAGAAUAAGAGAUGAGCAUGUAUGUGAGUAGUUAAGAUAGCAUUCAUUGAAGAAAUUUUUCCAAGACUAUAUUGAAAUGGUUUGGAUAAAUUCAAAGAUGGCCGCUGGAUGCAGCAGUUAGGAAGAUAGAUAGAACGAGUAUUGAUGGUACACCUAGAGGAAGAGUUUAUCUUUUAGAGUGUUCGUUUCUGUGCUUGAUCUAUUGUCAGGCCACUUUGCAUCCAAUCUGAUCAGCCUCUAGUUAGUUUCAAUGAUGGGUUUUUAGAUUAAGCCAUUUCUUUGCCUUUCUUUUGCUUCCAUAAUCAACCAUGAUUAUGUUGAGAUACUUCAAAAUUAGCUUAUCACCUUAAAUUUCGUUCUGUAGAAAUCUAGAGAUUUUUCCCAUUUUUAUGACAAUUCUUGGUAAUUAAACACGUUACAGUAAUAUACUUUGAUAAUUCUGUUUUCAUUAGUUAAAUUCUCCCCCUUCCUCGCCUACAAUUACCCAAACAUAUUAGGGAGAAGAAGGAAAAUAAUCAAUUAUCCUGAAUUAGUCCGUUCUUCUUGUCUUGGUGAUUCAAUUACUAUAUUAAUUGCUUUCUUAGCUUAUGGAUAAUGAUUGGAACUUUUAUUGUUUGAAUGAGUCAAAUCCUAAAUCCUAAUGAAUCUGCCAAUAGUUAUUACAAGGAAACUUCCAAAUUAUUACAAGUUAGCGUUGAAAAUUCUGGGAUCUUUGAGCUAUUUCUUGGGCAUUGAAGGUUUUAGGCAUCCUACUAGUCUUCAUUUUACAAAAUCCAAAUAUGCUACUGACAAUGUGUUGGUAACCAACAAGGCAGGAGCAAUAAGUUGUUCAGCUCUAUGCCCAUGAUGGAAAAUUGCCUCUUGCUGAUAGUGCAUCUUUCUCUAAUCCCACUUUGGACAGAAGCACAAAUAUUAAUACAAAAACAUCAUGCAGACUUCCAAGAGAUCACGACAUUUUGGUUGGAUUGAUAAUAUACAAUAGACAGCAAAGUAUGCAAAGAGGUACUAAGCAAAACCAUAAUAUUAGCUUACUAUGAAUAGCUAACGAAACCAUAUCUCUUAAGCAAUAUAAUUCUGGUGUUUACUAUCAAUUUUAAUCAAAAUUGAAAAACGAGCCCACAAGAGUGAAGACCUCGACAAAUUGAAAUAGGAUAUUAGAAAACUACACAUACUAAUUGAUAAAAUUGAAGUUUCAUAUUUUAGUUUUGCUUAACAUGUUAUGGUAAGGCAGUUCUAAUAUGCUAUGUUUUACUUAAUUGGAUGUAUAUUCAAUAUAACUUCAACAUGGGUGAUCACAGAGUUAGGAAUAAGGAACCAAUGUCAUGGUUCGACGAGAAUGAACAUGCUUUUAUCGAAAUUCUUUACGAGAAAGUGAAAUCAAACGCAUUGCAACGUUCUAUAUUCACGAAAGACGAAUGGAUGAUAAUGUGAGUACCGAUGAUUCCAUUGAUGAAGAUUCGAGUGAUGAUGAUUUGCUAUAUUUAUGGAUAGUUUUGACUCAAAUUUUUGGAGAUUUAAUGAUACUUAAUUGUUUUGUUGCCAGUGAAGGAAGUACCAUAGGCAGGAAAUCUUGUAGAACAUCAUCGCUUACAGGAAAAAUGUAUAUUCUAGAAAUUUUGAAUGGACAUUGGGACGUGUGCUAUCGUAAUUUUCGUAUGUAGAAACAUGUUUUCAUGAAUUUUGUGAUAUUUUGAAAGAGAAAGGGUUACUGAAAGAUGGGAAAAAAGUGAGCAUUGAGGAGGGUAUUGCUAUGUUUAUGACGAUCGUAGGGCACACUGCACGAUACAAUGUUAUUGGUGAUAGGUUUCAGCAUUCCAACAACACGAUACACAAAUGGUUCAAACGAGUUGUAAGGGCUGUUUGUUCAUUUGGCACUGAGAUAAUUCGUCCGACAAAUCAAGACAUUGUAUGGCGCAAUAGAUGGAACAUAUGUUGUAACUUGGGCUCCUGCAUUGAGACAAACAUCUUUUCGUGGAAGGAAAACUAAUGUAAUACAAAAUGUGAUGCUGAUAUAUGAUUUUGAUAUGAAAUUCACAUUUGUGUAUUCUGUUUGGAAAUGUACUGCUAAUGAUUUGUGAGUAUUCGUUGACGCAAUUACAAGAACUUCGAACAACUUUCCAAUGCUACAUGGAGGUAUAUUCUUAUACUUCAAAUAAUUAUUGUGAAUAUAUGUACAGUGUCACACUAUGUAAGCCCUUGUUUAUUUUACAGAUCAAUUUUGCCUUGUUGAUUCUGGAUGUCCAAAUAUUCCUGAAUUUCUUAUCCCUUAUCAAGGUCAAAGAUACCAUUUUCAUGACUAUGUUGGACGGGGAAGACUACGUGGGAAGGAAGAAUUGUUCAACUAUAGACACUCCUUGUGCCGUAACAUUAUUGAAUGUUGCAUUGGAGUUUUAAAGGCAAGAUAUCCUAUUUUGAAGUUGAUUACCAAGUAUCCACUUAGUGGGCAAAGACAAAUCCCUAUUGCAUAUUGCACAAUAAAUAACUUUAUUCGUCAGGAGCACGUUUUAGAUAAGUUGUUCGUUGAGUAUUCAGAGAAUAAUAUGGUGUUUCAAGAUAUAUCGGAAUCAAGUCAAGAUCAAGAAGUCAUACAUUCUGAUGCUAGUCAAACAGCUCAAAUGGGACAAGUCAGGGAUCAAAUUGCUACACAAAUGUGGAAUAACUACUCAAGAUGUCGUACAUGAUUCUGUGGAUGUACUUUAUAUUUUGUUUAGUGUCUGUUUGUUUUGUCAUGACACAUAUUUGUCAUGACACAUAAAUUUCUAAUAGUAUCUAUUGAAUUGUGUUGCCAAAUUUAACUUUUUUUUUUAUAUCUGUCAAAAAUCAUUUCAAGAUUCACCAACUUCAAAAUUUA
rnacentral:lncRNA from 1 species